rnacentral:vault_RNA from 1 species
GUGCAGGCUUAGUCUAAAGGUUCCUUCGUUCUUUUUAAAUAUUUCCACUCUCUGAGUGUGAGUUCGACCCCGACCUUUGACGCAGUCCUGUAUUUUU